ACAACUAGUGAUGGGUGUAAUCAUGGUUCUGGUCAUGGAGACAUACAAGAUGCAACAGGAAACUCUCCACUUCCUUCACAAGAUGUUGAGCUUCACAGGCAUGAGGACCCAGGUACUAACAAUAACCCCUCUAGUCCUGUCGCUCCUAUUAGCACCACAAGGCAGAGUGAUAACCAAUUAUCUAUUCUUGCUCCUGAAAAUGAUCUACCUAUUGCUGUCAGGAAACCUACUAGAAAUCGAAACAUUCCAGGGCACCUCAAAGAUUUUAAACAUGAUAUAGCCAAUUUCAUUUCCUAUGAAUAUUGUACUCCACCUUUCAAAAGCUUUAUUGCGUCUUUGGAUUCUGUCUCCAUACCAUCAAACUGGAAAAUAGCUAUAGAGGACCCAAAUUGGAAGGAAGCAAUGCUUGAUGAGAUGAAAGCCUUGGAUAAGAAUGAGACUUGGGAGCUUGUGGAUCUACCACCAGGUAAGCAACCUGUAGGUUGUAAGUGGGUCUUUACUAUUAAACACACCCCCGAGGGCAAGGUGGAGAGGUACAAAGCCCGCCUUGUAGCAAAAGGCUACACACAAACAUAUGGAAUCGAUUACGAAGAGACCUUUGCACCGGUGGCAAAGAUGAAUUCAGUAAGGACACUUAUAUCAUGCGCUGUAAACCUUGAUUGGGAUAUUUACCAGAUGGAUGUGAAGAAUGCUUUCCUUCAUGGUGAUCUCCAAGAAGAAGUAUACAUGCAUAUACCGCCUGGAUUUGAGUCAAGUCAAACUGUUGGAAAGGUAUUGCGCCUACAUCGUUCUUUAUAUGGCUUAAAGCAAUCACCACGAGCUUGGUUUGAUCGGUUUAGACAUGCUAUGCUAAAGAGGGGUUAUCUUCAAAGUAAUGCUGACCAUACGCUAUUUUACAAGCAUAUUAAUGGCAAGGUUGCAAUCUUGAUAGUGUAUGUCGAUGACAUUGUGAUUACUGGAGAUGAUUCCAAGGAAGUUGCAGAUCUGAAGUGUCAUCUUGCACAUGAGUUUGAAGUGAAGGACUUGGGACAACUAAGAUAUUUUCUUGGUAUAGAGGUCUCACGAGGGUCAAAAGGUAUUUUUCUCUCACAACGAAAAUAUAUCUUGGAUCUGCUCAAGGAAACAGGUAUGCUUGGUUGUCGACCUGCUGCUACACCUAUUGAGCAAAAUCAUCGGUUAUGUAGUGAUGCUGGGACACCAGUGGAUCGAGAGCGCUACCAGAGACUAGUUGGAAGAUUAAUAUAUUUAUCUCAUACCCGUCCA
rnacentral:rRNA from 1 species